GCCAGCAUGGCAUAGUGGUUUUGGUGCUGGACUAUGAUUCAGGAAACCAAGGUUUGAAUCCUGGCUCAGCCA